ACCGCAAGGUUGAAACUCAAAGGAAUUGACGGGGGCCCGCACAAGCGGUGGAGCAUGUGGUUUAAUUCGAAGCUACGCGAAGAACCUUACCAGGUCUUGACAUCUUCUGCCAAUCUUAGAGAUAAGACGUUCCCUUCGGGGACAGAAUGACAGGUGGUGCAUGGUUGUCGUCAGCUCGUGUCGUGAGAUGUUGGGUUAAGUCCCGCAACGAGCGCAACCCUUAUUAUCAGUUGCCAGCAUUCAGUUGGGCACUCUGGUGAGACUGCCGGUGACAAACCGGAGGAAGGUGGGGAUGACGUCAAAUCAUCAUGCCCCUUAUGACCUGGGCUACACACGUGCUACAAUGGACGGUACAACGAGUCGCGAAGUCGUGAGGCUAAGCUAAUCUCUUAAAGCCGUUCUCAGUUCGGAUUGUAGGCUGCAACUCGCCUACAUGAAGUUGGAAUCGCUAGUAAUCGCGGAUCAGCAUGCCGCGGUGAAUACGUUCCCGGGCCUUGUACACACCGCCCGUCACACCAUGAGAGUUUGUAACACCCAAAGCCGGUGAGAUAACCUUCGGGAGUCAGCCGUCUAAGGUGGGACAGAUGAUUAGGGUGAAGUCG
rnacentral:rRNA from 2 species